GAUGAAGAACGUAGCGAAAUGCGAUACUUGGUGUGAAUUGCAGAAUCCCGUGAACCAUCGAGUCUUUGAACGCAAGUUGCGCCCGAAGCCAUUUGGUUGAGGGCACGACUGCCUGGGCGUCACAUAUCGUUGCCCGAUGCCUAUAGCACUGUGAUAGGAAAUUCUAGGGCGAAAGAUGGCUUCCCGUGAGCGUUGUUGCCUCGCGGUUGGUUGAAAAUUGAGUCCUUGGUAGGGUGUGCCAUGAUAGAUGGUGGUCGAGUUUGCACGAGACCGAUCAUGUGUGCGCUCCCCAAAAUAUGGACUCUUUGACCCCACACGCGUCUUUUGACGCUCAUGACGAGACCUCAGGUCAGGCGGGGCUACCCGCUGAGUUUAAGCAUAUCAAUAAGCGGAGGA
rnacentral:misc_RNA from 1 species